UUGUCUCUGCCCAGCCUCUGUGCUGGUUA
rnacentral:piRNA from 1 species